UACAGAGGUCCCAAGCGUUGUUCGGAUUCAUUGGGCGUAAAGGGUGUGUAGGUGGCGCCGUAAGUCGGGUGUGAAAUUUCGGAGCUUAACUCCGAAACUGCAUUCGAUACUGCGGUGCUUGAGGACUGGAGAGGAGACUGGAAUUCAUGGUGUAGCAGUGAAAUGCGCAGAUAUCAGGAGGAACACCAAUUGCGAAGGCAGCUCGCUGGGACGUAACUGACGCUGAGACGCGAAAGCGUGGGGAGCAAACAGG
rnacentral:rRNA from 1 species